rnacentral:rRNA from 1 species
AAACUUUCAACUCUGGAUCUCUUGGUUCCGGCAUCAAUGACAAAUGUAACGAACUGAUAUAAGUAAUGUGAAUUGCGGAAUUCAGUGAAUCAUCGAGUCUUUGAACGCACAUUGCGCCCCCUGGAAUUCCGGGGGGCAUGCCUGUCCGAACGUCCUU